CUGGGCUUGAUAUCCUAAGAACCUUUUAGAGAUAAGAGGGUGCUAGCUUGCUAGAACUUAGAGACAGGUGCUGCACGGCUGUCGUCAGCUCGUGUCGUGAGAUGUUGGGUUAAGUCCCGCAACGAGCGCAACCCACGUAUUUAGUUGCUAACGGUUCGGCCGAGCACUCUAAAUAGACUGCCUUCGUAAGGAGGAGGAAGGUGUGGACGACGUCAAGUCAUCAUGGCCCUUAUGCCCAGGGCGACACACGUGCUACAAUGGCAUAUACAAUGAGACGCAAUACCGCGAGGUGGAGCAAAUCUAUAAAAUAUGUCCCAGUUCGGAUUGUUCUCUGCAACUCGAGAGCAUGAAGCCGGAAUCGCUAGUAAUCGUAGAUCAGCCAUGCUACGGUGAAUACGUUCCCGGGUCUUGUACUCACCGCCCGUCACACCAUGGGAGUUGAUUUCACUCGAAGCCGGAAUACUAAACUAGUUACCGUCCACAGUGGAAUCAGCGACUGGGGUGAAGUCGUAACAAGGUAACCGUAGGAGAACCUGCGGUUGGAUCACCUCCUUU
rnacentral:rRNA from 1 species